rnacentral:rRNA from 1 species
CUUUGGAUUGUCAACGUGCGUAAUACAUGCAGUCGAACGAAACUUUCUUACACCGAAUGCUUGCAUUCACCGUAAGAAGUUGAGUGGCGGACGGGUGAGUAACACGUGGGUAACCUGCCUAAAAGAAGGGGAUAACACUUGGAAACAGGUGCUAAUACCGUAUAUCUCUAAGGAUCGCAUGAUCCUUAGAUGAAAGAUGGUUCUGCUAUCGCUUUUAGAUGGACCCGCGGCGUAUUAACUAGUUGGUGGGGUAACGGCCUACCAAGGUGAUGAUACGUAGCCGAACUGAGAGGUUGAUCGGCCACAUUGGGACUGAGACACGGCCCAAACUCCUACGGGAGGCAGCAGUAGGGAAUCUUCCACAAUGGACGCAAGUCUGAUGGAGCAACGCCGCGUGAGUGAAGAAGGUCUUCGGAUCGUAAAACUCUGUUGUUAGAGAAGAACACGAGUGAGAGUAACUGUUCAUUCGAUGACGGUAUCUAACCAGCAAGUCACGGCUAACUACGUGCCAGCAGCCGCGGUAAUACGUAGGUGGCAAGCGUUGUCCGGAUUUAUUGGGCGUAAAGGGAACGCAGGCGGUCUUUUAAGUCUGAUGUGAAAGCCUUCGGCUUAACCGGAGUAGUGCAUUGGAAACUGGAAGACUUGAGUGCAGAAGAGGAGAGUGGAACUCCAUGUGUAGCGGUGAAAUGCGUAGAUAUAUGGAAGAACACCAGUGGCGAAAGCGGCUCUCUGGUCUGUAACUGACGCUGAGGUUCGAAAGCGUGGGUAGCAAACAGGAUUAGAUACCCUGGUAGUCCACGCCGUAAACGAUGAAUGCUAGGUGUUGGAGGGUUUCCGCCCUUCAGUGCCGCAGCUAACGCAAUAAGCAUUCCGCCUGGGGAGUACGACCGCAAGGUUGAAACUCAAAGGAAUUGACGGGGGCCCGCACAAGCGGUGGAGCAUGUGGUUUAAUUCGAAGCAACGCGAAGAACCUUACCAGGUCUUGACAUCCUUUGACCACCUAAGAGAUUAGGUUUUCCCUUCGGGGACAAAGUGACAGGUGGUGCAUGGCUGUCGUCAGCUCGUGUCCUGAGAUGUUGGGUUAAGUCCCGCAACGAGCGCAACCCUUGUUGUCAGUUGCCAGCAUUAAGUGAGCACUCUGGCGAGACUGCCGUGAAAAACCGGAGGAAGUGGGGACAACGUUAGUGCUCAAGCCCCUUUGAACUGGGCUACAACAGUGCCCGGAUGGGGGGGCCACAAACCCCAAAACCGGGGGGUGCCCAGUUCUUUAAAAUUUUAAUUCAAUUCUCUCCAACUCCCAAUU